GACGAACGCUGGCGGCGUGCCUAAUACAUGCAAGUAGAACGCUGAAGAGAGGAGCUUGCUCUUCUUGGAUGAGUUGCGAACGGGUGAGUAACGCGUAGGUAACCUGCCUUGUAGCGGGGGAUAACUAUUGGAAACGAUAGCUAAUACCGCAUAACAAUGGCUGACACAUGUCAUUUAUUUGAAAGGGGCAAUUGCUCCACUACAAGAUGGACCUGCGUUGUAUUAGCUAGUAGGUGAGGUAAUGGCUCACCUAGGCGACGAUACAUAGCCGACCUGAGAGGGUGAUCGGCCACACUGGGACUGAGACACGGCCCAGACUCCUACGGGAGGCAGCAGUAGGGAAUCUUCGGCAAUGGGGGCAACCCUGACCGAGCAACGCCGCGUGAGUGAAGAAGGUUUUCGGAUCGUAAAGCUCUGUUGUAAGUCAAGAACGGGUGUGAGAGUGGAAAGUUCACACUGUGACGGUAGCUUACCAGAAAGGGACGGCUAACUACGUG
rnacentral:rRNA from 1 species